GGAUGUAGCUCAGCGGUAGAGCACGUGAUUAGCAUGCAUGAGGUCCUGGGUCCAAUCCCCAGUACGUCCA
rnacentral:tRNA from 1 species